ensembl:snRNA U6 U6 spliceosomal RNA
AAGAGUCACAUGCUCGCUUAGGUAAUCAAUGAUACAGAGAAGAUUAGCGUGGGCCCAGCACAAGAAUGAAAUGCAAAUUCAUGAUGUGUUCCAUAUUGGG